AUUGAACGCUGGCGGCAGGCCUAACACAUGCAAGUCGAACGGUAGCACAGAGAGCUUGCUCUCGUGUGACGAGUGGCGGACGGGUGAGUAACGUCUGGGAAACUGCCCGAUGGAGGGGGAUAACUACUGGAAACGGUAGCUAAUACCGCAUAACGUCGCAAGACCAAAGUGGGGGACCUUCGGUCCUCACACCAUCGGAUGUGCCCAGAUGGGAUUAGCUAGUAGGUGGGGUAAUGGCUCACCUAGGCGACGAUCCCUAGCUGGCCUGAGAGGAUGACCAGCCACACUGGAACUGAGACACGGUCCAGACUCCUACGGGAGGCAGCAGUGGGGAAUAUUGCACAAUGGGCGCAAGCCUGAUGCAGCCAUGCCGCGUGUAUGAAGAAGGCCUUCGGGUUGUAAAGUACUUUCAGCGGGGAGGAAGGCGGUGAAGUUAAUAGCUUCACCGAUUGACGUUACCCGCAGAAGAAGCACCGGCUAACUCCGUGCCAGCCGCCGCCGUAA
rnacentral:rRNA from 1 species